rnacentral:lncRNA from 14 species
CUUGAUGUGUGUUGACUUUUUAGGGAAAAAACUGACCAGCAUGUGAAGAUUAGGCCCUUUGUAGAAUGGAAUUUUUUCAGAAUGUUUUUUUUUUCUGAAUGAAACAGUGCUUUGGUGGGUGAGGACUGGUUUAAAUGUUCUAAAAGAAAUUGUGUCUAUACUAUGAAUUCUUCAGACCAUUCCUGUUAACCAUGAACUCUGUAUACAACAGGUACAUCCAUACGUUUAGAAAAAAAAAUUAUAGUUAUGGUGAAGAACAGUUAAUGGAUCCAUUUGCUACCCAUUUGGCACAUUGUGGUUUAAUUUAAUUUGUGCUCUAUUUCAUUACUGAUACCUUUGAAAGUACCAGGUAAGAGUGUGCCUACAUACAUGCUGGUCCUGCUUCUGUGGCAUGGGAAAGAUGCUUUGUGUAUUCUGGGCUAGGAGAGAAACGACCCUGUUCUUGGCUUUGCUUGCUUGCGCCAGGAUCUGGCAUGAAUUAAUAACUGGGAAUGUAUCCUGCAUGACAAUCAAAAAAAACCAAAAAAACCAAAAAACCGCCACCCACAAACAAAAAGAAGUCCUAAAAACAAAAAGGCAGCUUGAUUUUUUUGUUUCUUCAAAGUUGCCUAAGACAUGGGACCUUACAUUUCUGCAUCAGCUGGACGUCCUUCCCUCAGGCAGGCCCAGCAUGGCUGAGGAGUUUGCGGAGAGCCGGGGUCCUUCAUUCCCGGCUGUGCCGCCGCCGCCGCCCACCGCCAGCCCCCCGCCCGCGGCUCCGCACGGCCGCGGGGCAGCGCCAUGGGCGCUGGCAGCUCCGCCGAGCCGGCCGCCCCGCAGGACGGGGCCGGGGCCGCCGCCGAGUCCCCCAGCACUCCCCGGAGCCGCUGCCGGCAGAAGACGCGGCGGAGCCCCAGCCACCGGCGGAGCCCGCCAAGGUAAGGCAGGGGCGGCGGGGAGGUGGCGGGAGGGACGCGAGGCGGCGGCUGCCGCCGCACCCCCGGGCCGGGGAAACUUUCCCGCCGCGGCUGCGGCCACCUGCCGCAGCGCUGGGCACCCCCCGGGCCGGGCGCGGAGCCGGGGCGCGGCGGGGCCGGGACUGCGCCACGGCCGGCGCCGCAGUCAUAAAACUCCCGCCGGCGGCAGCAGCGGCGGGGCGGGGGGCGAGGGCGGCUGCGGGGGCGCCGCUGCUUUUGUGUGCGGCCGGGGCGAGAGGAGCCGCACCCACCCCCGGCGAGGUCUGCGCCAAGGAGCCUUCUGACUGCGGUCCUGCGGCCGGAUCGCCGCGGCUCCCGCGGCUCUCCGCAGCCCCCCCACUCCAUCCUCUCCCCUCCCGCGGGAGCAGGUGGGAGGCGCGUCGGGGCGCGGCUCGGCGGUGCCUUCGUCUGGGCGCCAGCCGCGCUGUGCCCCCUUUCCCGCCCCGUCCCGCACCCCGGGGCUCGGGCUCACCUGAGCCGCCGCCCCCCGCCCGCCGCCGCGGGGAAGGGGCGGCGGUGUCGGCGGCGAGGGCUGGAGCCGUGCCUUUGGUGCGGCCCGCUGUCGUACCGCAUAGGGGGCAAAGGGGGAGGGACUCCCGAACUCCCAGCCCGUGGGGAGCGAAGGAGCUCUAGGUAUGUGUGAUUUAAAAUAAAGACGUUGAAGAAUUGAAAGAAAUUCUUUUAAAACAUGUCUGGUGUUUAAAAAUAGAGUAUGAAUGAACCCAUUUAUCCCUCUGGAAUAGGCGCGUUUAGGGGAUUUGGGGACUGAAAGGGAGGUUAUGUGCAUCUGUGUGUUUACAUAGCGUGGCUUUCGGGAGUUUGUGAGGGGAGAAAUAAUGCCACGUUCUACCGAGAUCCCCUUCUUUGGGCUCUUCAGAGUUUGGGUGCUCAGAGCAGGGAGACUCCGAAGUUUUUGUGACUGAUGCGUGGGUGUAUUAGAGCUUGAGAACCGGUUAUGACUUUGUUUCUUUGACCUUGUGGUUCAGAUUUAACUUUCAAGUCGAAUUUCCCAUAGUUCCUGGCUGCCACUAGACCUCCUUGUGCGUGUUUUGACAGAUUUGAAAACCACAUUGCGAAUGAACUUUAAAUUAACUAAGAUGUAUUUUUUUUAACUUUUUUUUGGGCAAUUUUAGAAUUCAGAUGCUGACGUUUAGAAAAGCGGGAAUUUUUAUCGGGCAAGCAUUUGGCUAUUGUGGUUGUUUAAAAUUUAAGAUAAUGCGACUUUGAAGAAGGGACAUAAUAUUCAUAGCCAUGUUUAUCCAGUUAUGGGAACUAAGGCCCUCUAAAAAAAGAGAAUCACACUAAUAAUGUUCUCAAGUACAGAUUAUUAUUAAUAUUGUGUUUUAUGUCUUCUGAGCUUUAGUAAAAAUGUCUUCUAGUAGAUUUUUGCCUGAUUAUUCAAGUAGAACUGUUUAAAAUUGGGGAAGUUCUAUUACCAUUUUGCUGCUAUAAGAAGUUGUAUUACUGCUGUUCUCGUGAAACAGCUGGUUUUGCCUUCCAUUACAUUGCAUAAAAAUAAAAAUCAGUUUUAAUGAAGUUUAGUCAUACUUUUUUUGUGUCUCAUUUAGUCUGUCUUACUAAAAUAACUCUAUGCAGAUUUGUGACAGUUUUUCAUCAUUAUUCCUUCCAGCUCUUUGAAUAUGAAAAUUAACAGGUCUUGCAGUGCCCCUGGAGAAAUCUGUCAGAUAGCUAAUAUGUUUGUGGAAGAUAGGGAAUCUUUUGGAGGGUGGUCUUCUAUCUUGCAUUUUCUAAAUUAAAAUGCUUAUUACAACCCUUUUAGAAGAAAAAACUUUGGAAAAUUACUUCACUGGAAUCCAUCUUGAGUGAGCCUUGGCAAGGCAAUUACAAAUAAACUGUCUAAGCAACUAGUCUUAUACAGGAUAUAAAAUCCCAGAGAAGUUGUGCUUUCUUUUGUGAUGCGAAAUCCUUGAAAUAUUUAAUUAAAUUUCUUUCAUGACGUAGUUGCAUUUUUUGCGUGAUGAAAACCUCUUCUCCUUUUCUUCUAGAAAGGAGAAAAUUUAUAGUCAUUAAGCUGGUUUGUUAUUCACAUGUGACUCUUUGGCCAGGUACCAGGUUUUGGGUGUCCUGGUUAAAAAAAGGGAGGGUGUAUGUUUCAGUGUUGCUCACUUCUACACCCCAAGGACCCUGGAAAGCACUUGCUCUGCAGAGCUUUGGGUCCUGGCUUGUGAACACAGUGCGUUAAAUGUGGGCUCAUGUGGCAAGUACCUCAGCUGUUGACCCAUCUUCUCAAAAGUUCCCGCUGAGUUACAUGUAAAGCAGCUCCAGAGUUUGCAGCCUGCCACAGUACUAAGACCUGAAAUGGGCAGAUUUCUUUACUGUAGCAGACAAGACAAACUCUGGCAGUGGAGGAGCUGCUGCUUAUCUUGCAUAGCCACCACACUGUGGGAAGCCACCUCUGCAGGGAGGUGUGAGAGAUCCUGGUGGUACUAAUCCAUUCAGCUGCCUGAACUGAAUGAAUCAGAUGUGUGAAUUGCCACCUGAGGUCAUGUUGAAACCAAGGGGCAGUGUAUGGUUCUACAGAAGGCUGAUUUUUGUGAUGGAGUUAUGUCCUUGCUGUUGUAGCAGCAAUGCUUUUUUCCACCUCCUUUUCUUCCUCCCCUGUUCUUCCUUGUUUUGCCUCAGAUGACGCAGUCUCACUUGGCUGUGUUGUGUCCUAACCUUGCC